rnacentral:rRNA from 1 species
AUUGAACGCUGGCGGCAUGCUUUACACAUGCAAGUCGAACGGUAACAGGCCUUCGGGUGCUGACGAGUGGCGAACGGGUGAGUAAUGCAUCGGAACGUGCCCAGAGGUGGGGGAUAACGCAGCGAAAGCUGUGCUAAUACCGCAUGUGAUCUGAGGAUGAAAGCGGGGGACCAGGCAGCAAUGUUUGGCCUCGCGCCUUUGGAGCGGCCGAUGUCAGAUUAGGUAGUUGGUGGGGUAAAGGCCUACCAAGCCGACGAUCCGUAGCUGGUCUGAGAGGACGACCAGCCACACUGGGACUGAGACACGGCCCAGACUCCUACGGGAGGCAGCAGUGGGGAAUUUUGGACAAUGGGCGCAAGCCUGAUCCAGCAAUGCCGCGUGCGGGAAGAAGGCCUUCGGGUUGUAAACCGCUUUUGUACGGAACGAAAAGGCUCUGGCUAAUACCUGGGGCUGAUGACGGUACCGUAAGAAUAAGCACCGGCUAACUACGUG